rnacentral:rRNA from 1 species
GCUUAACACAUGCAAGUCGAGGGGCAGCAUUUCAGUUUGCUUGCAAACUGGAGAUGGCGACCGGCGCACGGGUGAGUAACACGUAUCCAACCUGCCGAUAACUCGGGGAUAGCCUUUCGAAAGAAAGAUUAAUACCCGAUGGUAUAAUCAGACCGCAUGGUCUUGUUAUUAAAGAAUUUCGGUUAUCGAUGGGGAUGCGUUCCAUUAGGCAGUUGGUGAGGUAACGGCUCACCAAACCUUCGAUGGAUAGGGGUUCUGAGAGGAAGGUCCCCCACAUUGGAACUGAGACACGGUCCAAACUCCUACGGGAGGCAGCAGUGAGGAAUAUUGGUCAAUGGGCGCAGGCCUGAACCAGCCGAGUAGCGUGAAGGAUGACUGCCCUAUGGGUUGUAAACUUCUUUUAUAUGGGAAUAAAGUUUUCCACGUGUGGAAUUUUGUAUGUACCAUAUGAAUAAGGAUCGGCUAACUCCGUGCCAGCAGCCGCGGUAAUACGGAGGAUCCGAGCGUUAUCCGGAUUUAUUGGGUUUAAAGGGAGCGUAGGUGGACAGUUAAGUCAGUUGUGAAAGUUUGCGGCUCAACCGUAAAAUUGCAGUUGAUACUGGCUGUCUUGAGUACAGUAGAGGUGGGCGGAAUUCGUGGUGUAGCGGUGAAAUGCUUAGAUAUCACGAAGAACUCCGAUUGCGAAGGCAGCUCACUGGACUGCAACUGACACUGAUGCUCGAAAGUGUGGGUAUCAAACAGGAUUAGAUACCCUGGUAGUCCACACAGUAAACGAUGAAUACUCGCUGUUUGCGAUAUACAGUAAGCGGCCAAGCGAAAGCAUUAAGUAUUCCACCUGGGGAGUACGCCGGCAACGGUGAAACUCAAAGGAAUUGACGGGGGCCCGCACAAGCGGAGGAACAUGUGGUUUAAUUCGAUGAUACGCGAGGAACCUUACCCGGGCUUAAAUUGCAUUUGAAUAUAUUGGAAACAGUAUAGCCGUAAGGCAAAUGUGAAGGUGCUGCAUGGUUGUCGUCAGCUCGUGCCGUGAGGUGUCGGCUUAAGUGCCAUAACGAGCGCAACCCUUAUCUUUAGUUACUAACAGGUCAUGCUGAGGACUCUAGAGAGACUGCCGUCGUAAGAUGUGAGGAAGGUGGGGAUGACGUCAAAUCAGCACGGCCCUUACGUCCGGGGCUACACACGUGUUACAAUGGGGGGUACAGAAGGCAGCUACCUGGUGACAGGAUGCUAAUCCCAAAAGCCUCUCUCAGUUCGGAUCGAAGUCUGCAACCCGACUUCGUGAAGCUGGAUUCGCUAGUAAUCGCGCAUCAGCCAUGGCGCGGUGAAUACGUUCCCGGGCCUUGUACACACCGCCCGUCAAGCCAUGAAAGCCGGGGGUACCUGAAGUACGUAACCGCAAGGAGCGUCCUAGGGUAAAACUGGUAAUUGGGGCUAAGUCAUA